rnacentral:rRNA from 1 species
GACGAACGCUGGCGGCGUGCUUAACACAUGCAAGUCGAACGAAGUGGCGAACGGGUGAGUAACGCGUAAUCAACCUGCCCUUCAGAGGGGGACAACAGUUGGAAACGACUGCUAAUACCCCAUACUGACGGAGGGGCGUGCGUGCGAUUAGCUGGUUGGAGGGGUAACGGCCCACCAAGGCGAAGAUCAGUAGCCGGUCUGGGGGGAGUGACGGCCACAUAGGGACUGAGACACGGCCCAGACUCCUUCGGGAGGCAGCAGGGGGGAAUCUUCCGCAAAGGACGAAAGUCUGACGGAGCAACGCCGCGUGAGUGAUGACGGCCUUCGGGUUGUGAAGCUCUGUUAAUCGGGACGCGGUACCGGAAUAGAAAGCCACGGCUAACUACGUGCCAGCAGCCGCGGUAAUAC